rnacentral:rRNA from 1 species
GCGUGAGUGAUGAAGGCCUUAGGGUUGUAAAGCUCUUUUACCCGGGAUGAUAAUGACAGUACCGGGAGAAUAAGCCCCGGCUAACUCCGUGCCAGCAGCCGCGGUAAUACGGAGGGGGCUAGCGUUGUUCGGAAUUACUGGGCGUAAAGCGCACGUAGGCGGUUACUCAAGUCAGAGGUGAAAGCCCGGAGCUCAACUCCGGAACUGCCUUUGAAACUAGGUGACUUGAAUCAUGGAGAGGCGGGUGGAAUUCCGAGUGUAGAGGUGAAAUUCGU